CCAAUAGCGUAUAUUAAAGUUGUUGCAGUUAAAAAGCUCGUAGUUGAAUUUCGGGAUCAGCGCGUCGGUCGUGCCUCCGGUAUGCACUGGCGCCGCUGGUUUCUCCCUUCUGAGGAACCGUGAUGUCAUUAAUUUGGUGUCGCGGGAAAUCAGGACUGUUACUUUGAAAAAAUUAGAGUGUUUAAAGCGGGCACGCGCUUGAAUACAUUAGCAUGGAAUAACGAAAUAGGACGUUCGAUCUUAUUUUGUUGGUUUCUAGGAUUGACGUAAUGAUUAAUAGGGAUAGUUGGGGGCAUUAGUAUUCAAUUGUCAGAGGUGAAAUUCUUGGAUUUAUUGAAGACUAACUACUGCGAAAGCAUUUGCCAAGGAUGUUUUCAUUAAUCAAGAACGAAAGUUAGGGGAUCGAAGACGAUCAGAUACCGUCGUAGUCUUAACCAUAAACUAUGCCGACUAGGGAUCGGAUGAUGUUAAUUUUAUAAUGACUCAUUCGGCGCCUUACG
rnacentral:rRNA from 1 species